ensembl:lncRNA
CAGUGUUUACUGCGCCUACAGCUUCUUGCUCGCUCCCUGAUACUUUGAUCUCUGACUUUUUGUUGUUUGGUGCUCGCUGUUUCUCUUGGGAUCUGUGGAUUUUGACCAUUUGAACUCUUCUCCGGCUUUAGAGCUGUUUUCCAUCUUAAGCUCUUUGCUGGGCAUGCUCUCUGACUCCCACACUCUAUGAUUUCAGAUGAAUGACGCUGAUAUCAGUCCUGACUCAUGUGAAACCCUACUAGCUGGGCUGGGCCACUUACCUAGGGAAAAGAGGGUUUUGAAAUUUUAUUUAGAACCCAAGGCCCUUAGUCCUUCACUUAUUGUGGCCUGGGGACAGUGGAUGAGGCCGUCAAGACUCUAUGGUAAUGCAGGUCAUGCUGCAGCUGGUGGCACUCAUGGCUCAGCUAGUGGAGAUAAGGUUGGAACUACUGAGGCUUCAUUUGCAAACGCUCCAGGAUAAAACCUCUGUGCUCCCCACCUCCAUACUGCUAUUGAUCUUGCUGCCAAAACCGUUCGAGUAGGACUCUAACCAACUACCAGACCUCCAUCUACAAAUCCAGUCCCACGUGUAAACUUAGUGUUUGGGUCCUGUGAACACUACAAGCAGUCACUGCCUUCUAUUUGUUGGGAGUAGGGGACUGAGCAAUACGUGAUUCCCCUCCAAUGGCCUGGGAUAUCCCUUUUUGGUGUUGUGUCAGGUUCUAGUCUGUCUUACGAUUGGCGUGGUUGCUUGGCUCAAAUGGAAUUGAGGAUAGGACCAUCUGCUAUCAUUCUGUAUUCUUUUUGGCUUGAAGGAUUUUUAUAGGCCCCUCUGUGACUGGAUUAUAAAUGAUCACCUGCUUGCCACAUAGGGGGAUGUAUGUAAAACUGGAGCUCAUCUUUUGAUGUAUGGAUGCUGGACAAUGGAGAGGACAUGUUUGACUUUAAGUGAUAGCCUUGGUGCUGAGAGAGCUGAAGCACUUGGGUCCAUCUGGAAGCAUUUAAAUUCCUAAUUGGCACAUGCUGUACAUCACGUGAUAAAGAAGCCAGGAGAAGAUAUGAAUACAAGAGGGGGUUCUCAUUUAGAAACAUCAUAAAGAACUGAGGAGAAGAUAUGAAUAUAAGAGAGGGCUCUCAUUUAGAAACAUCAAAUACUCCUCCUCUGACUUCUUGAUAGGUUCUUUAAAUUGCAGGGUAAUGAAAGAAGUGCGAGAAACUCAAUUGGGAGUGGAUUACAAAAGACUUUUUCCAUCAAAGUUUUUGUUCAUUGAGAUAAUUGUAGAUUUACAUGCAAUUGUAAGAAAUAACCCAGAGAGAUCCCUUGUGCACUUUUCCAGUAUCCCCCAAUGGUAACAAUUUGCAAAAUUAUAGUAUAAUAUCACAACCACAAUUGAUACAAUCUACUGAUCUUAUUUAAAUUUGUUCCACUUGUAGUCUUUUGUGUGUCUGUGUCUCUGUAUUAAAUUCUACACAAUUUUAUCACCUGUGUAGGUUUGUGUAUCCACUACAACAGGCAAGAUACUGAACAGUUCCAACACUGUAAGAUCUUUCAUGUUGCCCUUUUGUAGCCACACUCACUUCCUUCUGUCCCCAUUCCCAAACCUUUGGCAACUAUAAUCUGUCUUUCAUUUCUAAAAUUUUGUCACUUCAAAAAUGUCAUAUAAAUGGAAUCAUACAGUAUGUAACGUUUUGGGGUUGGCCUUUUUUUUUUUUCUGUAGCUGAGGAAGAUUUUCGCUGAGCUAACAUCUGUGCCAAUCUUCCUUUAUUUUGUUUGUGGGUCAUCACCACAACAUGGCUGCCCAGUGGUGUAGAUCCGCACCGGGGAACCAAACCUGGGCCGCCAAAGCAAAGUGCACCAAACUGAACCACCAUGCCGUGGGGCCGGACUCUGGGACUGGCUUUUCCUGCUUUCUAAUUCCCUGGAGAUUCAUCCAAGUUUUUGUGUAUCUAUAGUUCAUUCCUUGUUAUUGCUGAGUAGUAUUCCUUUGUAUGUAUGUGUCACAGUUUUUUUAACCAUCCAUCCCUUGGAGGACAUCUGGGCUGAUUCCUGUUUUUGGCUGUUACAAAUAACCUAUGAACAUUUAUGUGCAGGUUUUUUGUGUGAACAUAAGUUUUCAUU